CCCCCCCCGCAUCUGCCUUCGCCCGCUCCGUCCCUUCUACCUGCCACCGCGCGCCGCCCUCGCUUCAGUCGUGCGCCCCCAGCCACCCCUCCUUGCAGAGACUGCACCGCUCAGUCGCGCAUAGGGCUGAGCCCCUGCCUGGCCUUUCCAGUCGCCCCAGGGUCCAGCCGCGCUCCCCGCCUCCCCCAGAGUUCAGACGGCCACCGCGAGCCGGCCUCGCCAGCCGGAGCUAAAUUAGUGUCUAAUUUCUCCGAUUCUCUCUGCUUGAUAUUGUGAUUUAUUAGCCUCAUGGGUUGCACCAGUGUUGUCUGACUGAUUUUGGGAUUUGACUUGACCUUACUUCUCGUAUGAACUAUGUAGCAUUUAACAGUUGUGAAAUUAAGGUUAGGUUUUCCGCUUCUGCUGCUCAACCAGUUCUUUUUUUUGUGCUGAUAACAGAUAUGUUUGUGUUUAUCUAUUCUGUAGAUGAUAGGAAAGGGGCAGUUGCUUGAUCUUCGAAGGCCAUUCCUUCUGGAAACUUGAUUAAUGGUUUUCAGGAUAAGCUGAGCUACUUUGGUUUAUUUAAAUUGAAGUGAAUUACUUGAGAUUAUGCAAUUAGCAUAUUGUUUAUUUCUCUUUUAACUAUGUCAUUGUAAGGAUCUUUCUUCUGCUUCGUUCCCUUUCAAGUGUUUGGUGAGCAUAAUUAUCGGUUUUUGUCAAGCUUUACAGCUGCUGGUGUCUCGGUUUCCCCCCGAGACAGCCUCUGCUAAUAGAGAACAUCGUUGCUUCUUCUGGUCAUGCUAAUCCAAAUGUUUUGCGAGAACUUGAUGGCUGGCAAGAAUCAUCGGAGCUGUCGAAGUUGAUGGUGAGAAUUCAGCGCUUGAAGAAACCGAAUCUUCCUCUUAUAACGUCUCUAAUGGUAAUAGAAGCCGACAUGUAAAGGAUGAUGACUCUUAUCUCCCCGACGAAAGGUACAUUGUUUAUAUAGAUUUUAUAAAAGCUGUUUGAAAUAACAUUUACUAGUAUAGAAAUAUAUGUUUUCAUACAAGUAUGCUUCGCCUACAAAACCAGCUGCGGAGCAUUAAUUUGCGUUCUCAUGGCUUCAUCAGAAGACAACAGUCCUCUAUUUCGUACAUCCUCUAUCUAUGCACUAAAAUGAUAAGGUAUACUACUUCAACUCCAUCACUAUUUAGAGAAUUCAAACUUAGUUCUAAAUAUCAGUUCUUGUUGCUUUAAAUAGCCCAUUUUUAUAUAUUUUUAGUUGUGUGUUGUGUAGGGAAAUUACAAUCAGCAAUAGAAAGGAAAAACAAAAAUCUAUUUUUUCCACAUUAUUAAUUUUACUGUGCAGGAAAUGAUAUAUGUGAGGGGUCUCUUUCUUGGUUUAUUUUUGUGCACACUCUCUUGUUUGUUGUGUGAUGGGAUGGACUUCACAGCAUAUCACAGACGAAUGAAGGCUAGUAGAUAGAUUUUACUUUAUUCGUUAUCUCUGCUAAAGUUCCGUCCGUUUGAAGUUCCAGCUUGUUUUUCAUUCAUCUUUUUUAGACACUAUAAUCUUAGUGAGAAGUGGAGCUCUAUGCAAUAAAUAAGACUUUAACAUUUGUGAUGCUACUUAAAGUGAAUUGUUUGAUAUACCAUAGUUAUCAAUCUUUUAAGACUUAAAUGAAUAACAUAUGAGUUCGUGGAUAUAAAAAUGGUCGGUGCAUAUUUCAUUAUAGAUUGUGGCUUAGUUGACUAUUGAGCAGAUAGAUUUCAUGAAAAAAUAACAAGGUGAGGGUUGCUUUGGUUUGGAAUUCAAGAAGUGAUAAUAUGUAGUUAUUAUUGUUUCCAUGUAGGAAAGAACCUCCUAUGAGGAAAUUAUAUAAACCAAUCAAAUUGUAGCUACAGAUAAGUUAUCUAAGAAUAGUGAUUGUGGCUUUGUAAUCCCAUAUUUGAUUGGUGGUGGUAUUGUCCAUAUUUGAUUUGUGAGUUUAUGUAGAGAACUUCAUAUGCAAAUUGAUUUGAAGUUGUUUUUUUUUUCUUUUCAUUAUUUGCUUCAUUAUUUGCAGGAAGGUGACUAUGAGAUGAAGCACAUAGAUAAAGUUGGAACUCGGACGUAGAAUGUAGCUAUUGCCCCCUUUGCUCUGUCCACAUUUGGAGAUGGUAUUAGUGUAGAGAGUAUCCAACUCAUAUGCAGCUUCUAGUUGUAGAGAUUAUGAUGUUAUUUAGAUAUAUUUGACACUUUGAUUAUGGAUGGAUAAAGUUUUUUGGAUGAUUAAAUAUUUAUAUAUGUUUUGGUUGUGGAAUA